rnacentral:rRNA from 1 species
GAUGAACGCUAGCGGCAGGCUUAACACAUGCAAGUCGAGGGGUAUAGUUCUUCGGAAUUAGAGACCGGCGCACGGGUGCGUAACGCGUAUGCAAUCUACCUUUUGCAGAGGGAUAGCCCAGAGAAAUUUGGAUUAAUACCUCAUAGUAUAGUGAUACCGCAUGGUACUGCUAUUAAAGUCACAACGGCAAAAGAUGAGCAUGCGUCCCAUUAGCUAGUUGGUAAGGUAACGGCUUACCAAGGCUACGAUGGGUAGGGGUCCUGAGAGGGAGAUCCCCCACACUGGUACUGAGACACGGACCAGACUCCUACGGGAGGCAGCAGUGAGGAAUAUUGGACAAUGGGCGCAAGCCUGAUCCAGCCAUGCCGCGUGCAGGAUGACGGUC